rnacentral:tRNA from 1 species
GGCCCUGUAGCUCAGUCGGUAGAGCAGAGGACUGAAAAUCCUCGUGUCGGCAGUUCGAUUCUGUCCAGGGCCA